rnacentral:rRNA from 1 species
GAGGAAUAUUGGUCAAUGGGCGAGAGCCUGAACCAGCCAAGUCGCGUGAAGGAAGACUGCCUUAUGGGUUGUAAACUUCUUUUAUACAGGAAUAAAAAGGCUUACGUGUAGGCCAUUGCAAGUACUGUAUGAAUAAGCAUCGGCUAACUCCGUGCCAGCAGCCGCGGUAAUACGGAGGAUGCGAGCGUUAUCCGGAUUUAUUGGGUUUUAAGGGUGCGCAGGCGGGCUUUUAAGUCAGCGGUGAAAUCUGGACGCUUAACGUCCAAACUGCCGUUGAAACUGGGGGUGUUGGGUAUGGAUGAAGUAGGCGGAAUUCGUGUUGUAGGGGUGACAUGCUUGAAUAAACCGAGGAACUCCGAUGGCGUAGGAAGCUUACAAAGCAAUAACUGACGCUCAUGCACGAAGGCGUGGGAUCAAACA